rnacentral:tRNA from 1 species
UGGAAGUUGGCUCAGUGGUAGAGUACUUGCCUCACAUGCAUGAAGCCCUGGUUCGAUUCCUCACCAUCAU